CACAAGCGGUGGAGCAUGUGGUUAAUUCGAUGAUACGCGAGGAACCUUACCUGGGCUCAAAUGUAUGUUGACGUAUUCUGAAAGGGAUACUUCUUCGGACAAUAUACAAGGUGCUGCAUGGUUGUCGUCAGCUCGUGCCGUGAGGUGUCGGGUUAAGUCCCAUAACGAGCGCAACCCCUAUCAUUAGUUGCCAUCAGGUCAAGCUGGGGACUCUAAUGAAACUGCCUACGCAAGUAGUGAGGAAGGUGGGGAUGACGUCAAAUCAGCACGGCCCUUACGUCCAGGGCUACACACGUGCUACAAUGGCCGGUACAAAGGGCAGCUACCUGGUGACAGGAUGCUAAUCUCAAAAGCCGGUCUCAGUUCGGAUCGGAGUCUGCAACCCGACUCCGUGAAGCUGGAAUCGCUAGUAAUCGUGAAUCAGAAUGUCACGGUGAAUACGUUCCCGGGCCUU
rnacentral:rRNA from 1 species